UACACAACUGGAAUUAACUGUAUCCCAACUGUCUAGAAUUCUUUCGGUAUAGGUUUUAAACAGAGGUUCAUACAGAGUCAAAGAUCCUACCUGCGGCUGGCUUAGCAAGAGAAGGAACUAGCCAUACACCUGAGUUCCCCUUACGGAGUCUUCUGUUUUCUCAGGAGGUGGGCACAGCUGGGUGGUGUUGCUCUAUGGUAGAACAACAUGUACCUCAGAAUGCCAUCAUGAGGAUUAAGAUGCAGCCUAUACACCAAGAAGCUGUCUUCAGGACACCUCCAGGACAAAAACCAGGAAUGCCUACAAGGGGUACUGCAGGAAAACGGGAAGAGAGAAGUGCUGGGAAUGCAGGGGCAAAACCACAUUUGUUCUAUCCACUGCUUCUUGUGGUACAGCCUAUGAGCCUGCACAGGAAGCAAAAGGAAAACUGAAAGUCUCUGAAGAGAUUAUCCAAAAGAAGAAAAUUAUUCCCUGUGGAGUGAGUCGCCCUAACUCAGGAGGCUGCUGAAACAAGUGGCAGAACAGAACAAUGAAUCCCAUUGUAUACUGAAUUCUUAAUGCCACAGUAUCUAAGAAGGCUUGCCUUAUUACUUAGCUAUGCAUUAUCAACAUAAAGUGUUUAUACAAGAAAACUGUAUAGAAAUGUAUACUG
rnacentral:lncRNA from 1 species